CUUCAACGAAGCCCUAGUUUCUUCUCUGUCAUUGCCAUUGGUCAUCGCCGACUUCCAAUUCUCCUUCUUUGCCGUUUAUCGUUGAAAUUGGCAGCUUCGGCGGCGUGGAGGCACUUCUUUGCGGCACCGUGAGGUGAGUUUUCCAAAUAUAACUGGACACAUUAAUAUUCUCCACUCUUCGUACAUUGGAUAUGGCAUGCUUUGGAUGGUUGUCAUUGUUGACUCCAUUUAUUAACUAAAUAAAAAUUUAACCCACCAGAUCCCCAAUUGGACUCAAUUUAUUUGUUUGGAAUUAUUGGGUAAAAUGUGCGGUUUCAUCAUUGAACAACAAUUGGUGAUAAUUUGUACUACGGUGUUUGUUGGGCAGACGGUCUUUCGAGCUCAUAAAGAAUAUGCCACAGUUCCCCCAAAAAUUCCCAUCUUUUUAUGGAAGUAGCAUGAUAUUAAUUUGGAAUUUUUGAUUUUAUUCAGCUGGAAUUGCAGUGGGAUAAUAUUGGAUUGUUUGUGAGGUUGCAUCAUUCAACUAAAAUAUGUGAUAAUUUUGCAUCAUUUAACUAAAAAUACACUGCAUAAGUUAUCUAUUAUUGACUUUUGAUGCCUUUUCUUGGAAUUAUGUGGUGGAGAAGCAUGACAUUUUCCAGGUGGUGAAUAAUUUCAGAAAUUUAGCUGCAAAAAUAUUUUCCAUAUUUCUGUGUUGGACUGAACUCUCACAUGUCAUGCUUGUGUGAAGAAUAAGAAAAACGGUGGGCACAAAACUUGGAAACACGUGCAAUCAUUUAUAAGGUUCACCGAGCAUGACUAAUGUGACAAAAUUGAUGUUCUUGUGAAGGUGACUGAUAUCUGCAGCUCCCAAGCUUUUGUUUUGCCUUGUACAUGGAAAAGACAGAAAAGGGGGUUAUGGUUUGAAUGAUCCUCGAAGGUCGCUACUUCGGAUAGAUAGACUACCAUCCACUUACAAGGCGACGAAGAAAUUUUCCGUAUUCGGACCCCAUCUUGCGGCGUUAUUUAUAUUUAAGAUACUUUAUUUCUUCUUUAAUUUAAUUUUGUGGUGGACAUUAUAGUAGUCCACUUGUUUGUCACAAAUAUAAAUUUUAUGUAAUAUGGCAGAUUAUAUUACGCAAAUUUUCUACAAGUAUUUUGUGAAGUUUCUGUUAGUUUGGAUGUCUAA